CAUUACAAGUGACCCCGGUCUAACCACCGGGAUGUUCAUAACCCUUUGUUGUCCGACUCUGUUGCCUCCGGGGCGACCCUGCCUUCGGGCGGGGGCUCCGGGUGGACACUUCAAACUCUUGCGUAACUUUGCAGUCUGAGUAAACUUAAUUAAUAAAUUAAAACUUUUAACAACGGAUCUCUUGGUUCUGGCAUCGAUGAAGAACGCAGCGAAAUGCGAUAAGUAAUGUGAAUUGCAGAAUUCAGUGAAUCAUCGAAUCUUUGAACGCACAUUGCGCCCCCUGGUAUUCCGGGGGGCAUGCCUGUUCGAGCGUCAUUUCACCACUCAAGCCUCGCUUGGUAUUGGGCAACGCGGUCCGCCGCGUGCCUCAAAUCGACCGGCUGGGUCUUCUGUCCCCUAAGCGUUGUGGAAACUAUUCGCUAAAGGGUGUUCGGGAGGCUACGCCGUAAAACAACCCCAUUUCUAAGGUUGACCUCGGAUCAGGUAGGGAUACCC
rnacentral:rRNA from 1 species